rnacentral:rRNA from 1 species
GAUGAACGCUGGCGGCGUGCCUAAUACAUGCAAGUCGAGCGAACGGACGAGAAGCUUGCUUCUCUGAUGUUAGCGGCGGACGGGUGAGUAACACGUGGAUAACCUACCUAUAAGACUGGGAUAACUUCGGGAAACCGGAGCUAAUACCGGAUGAUAUUUUGAACCUCAUGGUUCAAAAGUGAAAGACGGUCUUGCUGUCACUUAUAGAUGGAUCCGCGCUGCAUUAGCUAGUUGGUAAGGUAACGGCUUACCAAGGCAACGAUGCAUAGCCGACCUGAGAGGGUGAUCGGCCACACUGGAACUGAGACACGGUCCAGACUCCUACGGGAGGCAGCAGUAGGGAAUCUUCCGCAAUGGGCGAAAGCCUGACGGAGCAACGCCGCGUGAGUGAUGAAGGUCUUCGGAUCGUAAAACUCUGUUAUUAGGGAAGAACAUAUGUGUAAGUAACUGUGCACAUCUUGACGGUACCUAAUCAGAAAGCCACGGCUAACUACGUG